UGUCUGGGGAAGGAGUUGUUGGUAGAACAGGGCUCUUCUGAGCCCUCCUUGGUCACCACAAGUGAGGCUCGGGCAAUGGAUUCAGUGCUGGAAAGAAGAGAUGUAGAAUCUGAAGAUCUGAAUUUGAAGUCUCACUCAACAACUCAGUAAAGGAUUGUGCUCAUCGGGAAGUCCCUACUCAUAAGAGCCCUCAACACAAAUGGACUAUUCAACAGGACCUUGAACGUUGGAAACACAGCUCUCCUCUGUUGGAGGAUAGCAGCUAAGUAGCCCCCUUCUUCAGUGGGCACUUCCUAACCUGACCCCUGGUGAUAGGCCUUUUACUAAUGCUUGCCCCCUGCAUCAUUAGAUUUGUUCAAGACCAGAUUCAAAAAUCUCUAACCAAACCAUUAACCAGCUUCUCUUACAGGACUACCAACCCCUCACCAAAACCGGGCCGUCCAGAGUCAGCAUCACCACCACUUCCCAACCCUCACCAUUACCUCAAUGACAUCCCAUGCCCCUAACAAGGGUCCAGACACUGCCCCUUCCCAGCAGGAAGAAGCUACAGAAGAUUGAUCUAUGCCCCUGUCCCUUAAGGGGCCCAAUAACAAACAAAAAAGGGAGGAAUAUAAGGUCUUGAUUUUACAUUCGUGCAGCCAUCUUAAAUGUUAACCACCAUCUUAUGAGCUCUGAUGCAAGCACACCCAGCCUAUUCCACAGCACCACAACUACAACUCCAAACCCCACCCCACAAAAGCUGGACACCCGAACAUCUGGG